CCUACGGGAGGCAGCAGUAGGGAAUAUUGCUCAAUGGGGGAAACCCUGAAGCAGCCACGCCGCGUGGAGGAUGACGGUUCUCGGAUUGUAAACCCCUUUUGUUAGAGAAGAUAAUGACGGUAUCUAACGAAUAAGCACCGGCUAACUCCGUGCCAGCAGCCGCGGUAAUACGGAGGGUGCAAGCGUGACUCGGAAUCACUGGGCGUAAAGAGCGCGUAGGCGGGAUAGCAAGUCAGAUGUGAAAUCCUAUGGCUUAACCAUAGAACUGCAUUUGAAACUGUUAUUCUAGAGUAUGGGAGAGGUAGGUGGAAUGCGUGGUGUAGGGGUAAAAUGCGUAGAGAUCAAGAGGAAUACUGAUUGCGAAGGCGACCUGCUAGAACAUAACUGACGCUGAUGCGCGAAAGCGUGGGGAGCAAACAGGAUUAGAUACCCGGGUAGUC
rnacentral:rRNA from 1 species